GACAGAGGGUGCAAACGUUGUUCGGAAUUACUGGGCGUAAAGCGUGUGCAGGCUGCUACGAAAGUCGGAUGUGAAAGCCCCCAGGCUCAACCUGGGAAGUGCACUCGAUACUGCGUAGCUUGAGUAUCGGAGAGGUUGGUGGAAUUCUCGGUGUAGCGGUGAAAUGCGCAGAUAUCAGGAGGAACACCGGUGGCGAAGGCGGGUCUCUGGGCCGAUACUGACGCUGAGGCACGAAAGCGUGGGGAGCAAACAGG
rnacentral:rRNA from 1 species